rnacentral:rRNA from 1 species
CCCUACGGGGUGCAGCAAGUGGGGGUUUCCGAAGGGCGUUUGCCCGACGGCGGCAGUGCGGUGGUUGCAUUUCCCACGACCCCGACGCCCGAGCAAGGCAAUUACCUGCCUUUAGGCGGUGUGGUCAUCAACGAAGUGCUGACGCACACUGAUCCGCCGCUGGAAGAUGCGAUCGAGCUGGCCAAUCUGACGGCCGCGCCGGUGAAUAUUGGGGGCUGGUAUUUGAGCGACAGCCCGAGCCAAUUGCAGAAGUUUCGCAGCCCGGACGGCACGGUCAUUCCGGCGGGGGGUUGGGCGGUGUUUUACCAAUAUCAGUUUGAUCCUGAUCCCGGGGUGUUUCCCAGCUUUGCGUUGGAUGCGGCGCAGGGCGAGGGGGUAUAUCUCAGUGCGGCGGACGCGGGAGAGC